AGUAGCGGCGAGUGAAGCGGCAAAAGCUCAAAUUUGAAAUCUGGUACUUUCGGUAUCCGAGUUGUAAUUUGUAGAGGUAACUUUGAACAUGAGUCUUGCAUAAGUUCCUUGGAAAAGGACGUCAUAGAGGGUGAGAAUCCCGUUUAUGGUAGGACCCCCAGUUUGUGUAAAGUGCCUUCGAAGAGUCGAGUUGUUUGGGAAUGCAGCUCUAAGUGGGUGGUAAAUUCCAUCUAAAGCUAAAUAUUUGCGAGAGACCGAUAGCGAACAAGUACAGUGAUGGAAAGAUGAAAAGAACUUUGAAAAGAGAGUGAAAAAGUACGUGAAAUUGUUGAAAGGGAAGGGCUUUAAAUCAGACAUGGUAUUCAGUGAUCAGCUUCCUUUCGGGGUUGUGCACUCGCUGUUUACCGGGCCAACAUCAGUUUAGAGGGUAGGAUAAUAGUAAAAGAACGUAGCUUGUUUACAAGUGUUAUAGCUUUUAUUGAUACUACCACUCUGGACUGAGGACUGCGCAUUUUAUGCUAGGAUGUUGGCGUAAUGGUUUUAAGCCACCCGUCUUGAAACACGGACCAAGGAGUCUAACGCCUAUGCGAGUGUUUGGGUGUAAAACCCGUACGCGAAAUGAAAGUGAACGUAGGUGAGGGCCCGUAAGGGUGCAUCAUCGACCGAUCCUGAUGUUUUCAGAUGGAUUUGAGUAAGAGCAUAGUUGYUGGGACCCGAAAGAUGGUGAACUAUGCCUGAAUAGGGUGAAGCCAG
rnacentral:rRNA from 1 species